rnacentral:misc_RNA from 1 species
AGCAGCCGCGGUAAUUCCAGCUCCAAUAGCGUAUAUUAAAGUUGUUGCAGUUAAAAGCUCGUAGUUGAAUUUUGGGUCUGGCCGGGCGGUCCGCCCUCUGGGUGAGCACUGUUCCGACGCCGGGCCUAUCCUUCUGGUGAGUCGGCAUGUCCUUUAUUGGGUGUGCCGGGGAACCAGGACCAUUACCUUGAAAAAUUAGAGUGUUCAAAGCAGGCGUAUGCUCGGAUACAUUAGCAUGGAAUAAUGAAAUAGGACGCGUGGUGCUAUUUUGUUGGUUUCUAGAACCGCCGUAAUGAUUAAUAGGGAUAGUUGGGGGCAUUAGUAUUCAAUUGUCAGAGGUGAAAUUCUUGGAUUUAUUGAAGACUAACUUCUGCGAAAGCAUUUGCCAAGGAUGUUUUCAUUAAUCAAGAACGAAAGUUAGGGAUCGAAGACGAUCAGAUACCG